GCGACCCCAGGUCAGGCGGGGCUACCCGCUGAGUUUAAGCAUAUCAAUAAGCGGAGGAAAAGAAACUUACCAGGAUUCCCCUAGUAA
rnacentral:rRNA from 1 species